rnacentral:lncRNA from 7 species
GAGUCCCUGUAGCGUACGUAGGACGUGAAGAAUGCCUGCCCGUGCCCAUGCGGGGUGCGUCGACGUCGACGUCCUGGCAUAGGAAAGAUGCCACCAAUAAUUCAGUAAAUUAAAGAGAUGAUGGACCACGACGCGGAGGCGUAUAGCGUGCAACCAUGCUACGCUACGUUACACUACACUACUCGACCGCAAGUUCUCGUCGAAGGCCGGCCAGACCACAUGUGUUUUUGUCGUCGCAGUCGCAGCCCGGCGGUCCCUCUCCGCUAAUGGAGCAGUGGCUGGCCGCCUGGCCCUGGCCCUGGCCCUGGCCCAGUGGCCCUGCCUCUGCCUGUAGCAUGUACCAUGCCGCGCUGGCUGGACCUGUCGCGCUCGGCGGGCCCUCCGUGCCACUGUCGUCUCACAGGCUCAUUGCUGCGGCGCUGCGCUAGCUCUAGCUAGUGGCAUGUGAUAUGUGCCCGUUCUUAUUCUCGUUUCACAAAGCUGCUCGUAGUACUGAUUGAUGGGAACCGGAGGCCGGGAUGUCGCCUCAGGCCUCAGCUCUCUCAUUGGUCGUUUUGUCCUCUGCUCCCCACCCCACCCCACUCCCCUCCCACCUCUCAAUCCUUAUCCAUCUGUCAGCUCCACGGCAAUCUCUCCGACGAGGCCGUGACGCCCAUCGGCGCCUGCGAGGGGAGCGAGCGGCGCAGGUGAGAGUUGAUGUACAAGUUACACAAUAUUUGUUAGAUCACAUCGAGCGGUUCACCCAUAUAAUUAUCUAAAACAUUAUUUUACAUGGUAUACUACGCUGUUAAUAGAAUGAUGUUUAAAUAU